AUUGAACGCUGGCGGCAGGCCUAACACAUGCAAGUCGAGCGGAUGAAGGGAGCUUGCCCCUGGAUUCAGCGGGGGACGGGUGAGUAAUGCCUAGGAAUCUGCCUGGCAGCGGGGGAUAAUGUCCGGAAACGGGAGCUUAUACCGCAUACGCCCUGAGCGAGAAAGUGGGGGUUCUUCGGACCUCACGCUACCAGAUGUGUCUAGGUCGGAUUAGCUAGUUGGUGGGGUAAAGGCCUACCAAGGCGACGAUCCGUAACUGAUCUGAGAGGAUGAUCAGUCACACUGGAACUGAGACACGGUCCAGACUCCUACGGGAGGCAGCAGUGGGGAAUAUUGGGCAAUGGGCGAAAGCCUGAUCCAGCCAUGCCGCGUGUGUGAAGAAGGUCUUCGGAUUGUAAAGCACUUUAAGUUGGGAGGAAGGGCAGUAAGUUAAUACCUUGCUGUUUUGACGUUACCAACAGAAUAAGCACCGGCUAACUUCGUG
rnacentral:rRNA from 1 species